UCGAGAAUCUUCCGCCAUGGACGAAAGUCUGACGGAGCGACGCCGCGUGCGGGAUGAAGGCCCUCGGGUUGUAAACCGCUGUCAGUUGGGAGGAAAUGCUAUGGGGCACUCUCCAUAGUUUGACCGAUCUUCAGAGGAAGUCCGGGCUAAGUUCGUGCCAGCAGCCGCGGUAAGACGAACCGGAUGAACGUUAUUCGGAAUCACUGGGCUUAAAGAGUGCGUAGGCGGCUUUGUAGGUUGGGUGCGAAAUCCCACAGCUCAACUGUGGAACUGCGCUCAAAACCACAAGGCUUGAGGGAGGUAGAGGUAAGCGGAACUGAUGGUGGAGCGGUGAAAUGCGUUGAUAUCAUCAGGAACACCGGUGGCGAAGGCGGCUUACUGGGCCUCUUCUGACGCUGAGGCACGAAAGCGAGGGUAGCGAACGGGAUUAGAUACCCCCGUAGUCC
rnacentral:rRNA from 1 species